AGAGCAGCCUGGGAGACCCUGGCAAAGGAGUCUGGGGACAGUCAGGAAGGACCCUGCGUUUCACGCAGAGGUUUUCACGUUUUAUCCUAAAAGCUGAGCUGAUCCAUUAAUACUUUGUGAGGAUAGCUACAGGAUCAAACCUGUGCUUUGAAAAUAGAACUUUGGUGAAGCUGUGGAGAAUGGAUUAAAGGCAGAAGAGAAUCGUGUCUGAGAAAGCCUGCCAGAGCCAUCAUGUAGUAAGAAAACCCAGACAAGACCAAGACAGAUUGCAAGCCCCCACCUAUGUUGGUUAAUUCUGCUUCACAUGGAAGAGACAGCCAUUGGGCCAGCCCUGAACAAAGAUCCCUGUCACCAAGAUCCACUGCUCCUGCUGUGGUCAGGCAAAGAGAAGGUUAUGUCUCCUGAGUUCUAGUUCUCCGUCCUGAAGUCCAUGUAAUGUGAGUUACAAGCCGUCUGCAGAGGUGAGCAUUCGACUCUGGCCAGCUCAAGUUAUUCGGCAAGGUGUGAUUGUCCAGUCUUGAGGCUGUUUGCUGGGAGAAGCACGACAUAGGCUAUUGCCAGUGCCAAGGAGAACAAUCCUAAUAAGACUGACAGCCCUGCCCAAAUGACAUGGCAUUGAAAAUGACACCUGACUGAAUGAAGCUGACACUGAGGUAGGCACUGAGCUUCUUCAGAGAGAAGGGAGGGACCAGCCACAGAGGAGGCAUGAUCCAAACUUUUGGGAUCCUCAGAAAUGUUUACCCAAGCUCCAUGAAACAAUCAUAAAGGAACAAAAGGACAAAGUAAUUGGGGGAAUAUAACAACAAUGAACACAGUUCCUUCCUGAAGAGACCACAGCAUGGUGCUGAAGAGCGUGAUCUCAGGAAUACAGAACUGGAUUUAAAUCCCUGCCUCAGAUGACUUUGUGAACCACGUAUCCUCUAUGGAAAUCAGUUUCUUCAUCAUUGAAAUGGAGAUAACUGGUAUUAUCCGCAGUGAUUUGCUUGCCUUUCUUACACUGUCUUGAUAUCUGCAUCUUUGAGAAUCCAAACUGACACAGUUGUCACCAGAACUGGACCAAGAAGUUUUACCUCAGUGCUAUGUUAACUCUGCCAUGCUUGUUGAUAAUAAAAUUCAAAGAGAUAUGGACCAUCUGGACAUACCGCAGGAUAUCAUAUUGAUCCAGUACAUCUGUGAUAUCAUGCUAAUUGGACAAGAUUUCUAAACUGCUUUGCUGAUUUGAUCUGGGGCCCUGGAGUGCCAACAUCCUGUGAUAGCGGCUGAUUGUUGAUGCCUGGGAGGAUACAGCAGUGACGAUCCAAAUUUACAAGACUCAACAUGGUUUUCAAAACUUCCUUUUAAAAAAGAUGUUCCUGAGUUCUGGAAUCUGAACAAAAUAUGUCUGGUUAUUAUAUAAUUCUAAUGGUCCUUGUGGAUGCUACCAUUAGAGUUCAGUUAGUGUCUCAUCUAUCACUGUAAUAUUUGUAUUGUAACACUAAUCGUGGCAAAGUAUGAUUUGAUAAAUGCUCAUUCUCAAAUCUUUUAUUUUAGUGUGUUCAUGUAAGAUUAAUGACCAUGAUGACUUGAGAUAGAAUUUUUUGAUUUGUUGCUUUCUUUGUGUCUUCCAAUAUCACACAGAUUUGCAAAGAUAUCUAUGGCACAAGGGGAGAAAAUAAUAACUUAACUAGAGGAUAGGAGUAAGGCCUUCUAUUAACAAGACACUGUUGACAUUUCUAGGUAGAUUUCAGAAUUCUCCAGGCAUGCCUGGUAGAAAUUUUAGAAAUAAAAGCCAGGAAAGAAAGGCAGAAAGACUAUGUUGGGACAUUAGCAAUUUCUUCCUACCACAAUAUUUCUUUAUUCACUGUAAGUAAAUCUAAUGCUAAUUUAUUUAUCUGUCUAUCCUUUGAAUUACAAUUUAAAAUGUCAUAAAACAAAGAUUCAGAUAAGAUAGCUGAUUUGCUCAUAUUGAACGUCACAUUGAUUUUCACCAUCUGAGGCCCAUUGACAUCGUAUGGAUAUUAGAGAACCUGGAAUCACCAAGAUGGGGUUCUCCCACUGUUGUCUUCAUGAUCCAUGAUCAUUUGUACACAGUAAAUAUUUAUUUGAGUACAAUGACUUUACAAAUGAUACAUGCAGAUUCUGUAUACAAGGCUGAGAGUGAGUAGACCCAAUUUCAAACAAAAGGUUAUAUAUGUGACCAGUGAGAGUUUUCUAUCAUUCUCUAGGAGGCUAGACUAGGCAGAGUGCAAUUUAGGCCCCUGUGUGGUAAGGUGAGUUUUAAAAUUCCUCCUUUAUUUUCUCACUUGUUUUGGACAGCCAGGACCCAAAACAAAGCUAUUUAUUUGAAACCUCUCUCCUCUCUCUCUUCUUCCUCUUUCAUCAAUUUGAUUCCCUUUUUAUUAUCAUUAUUUAUGUUUUGUAUAACUAGAAAAAUAAUUUGUCAUGGAUUACAUCUUAUUUGCAAGAGGCUCUAGUAAGAUGGCAACAAGGCAUGCACAAUAUAUCAUAAUUUAGCAGCUUCUCUUGUAACUAUACUAAACUAGUGGUGGAAGAAAAUACAUAUAAACAACUCCGACAACAGAUUUUGAAUGAUCCAGUAACUUUGAUUUAUAUUUGGUAUUUGAUGGAACUGUAUUAGCAGUUAAAGCCAAUGGCUAAAUGAUUCCCAACACAAAAUGAGUCAGAAGUACAAAAGAAGCUUUACAAUGCACAAUAGAGAGCUCUGAGCCUCCCAGCUUAAAUUUCCAAAUUGCAGUGUAAAUUACAGGACUGCUUGUCAAUUUUAACUAACAGUUCUACCCAAUAGGGUCUAGCUAGGUAAUUCAUCCAUUAUUCCUUUAUGAAACAGUAAACACCAGCUAAAUUCCAUUGGCUUUUCUAAAUAAAAUUGCCUCAUCUCUCAUAUCUACUGCAGAGAAGGAGUGAAUCAACCUCUGACGACAGUAAGUCCCACACAACAAACAACAUGUGAAACCUGGAAUUAGUUAAAAAUGCUUUCCAUAUUUGUUAAUAGAAUUGGGUGCCAAUCAUCUUGAGAUGAUCUCAACCUUCCCAAGUUCUUUUGGUGGAAGGACUCUCACAUUCUUCUAUUUCCCCUCCUUACCCUAUAUUUUCUCUCAUCCCCAAAUAACUAUUUUCUCUUCACUUGUUUCCUCUAUGGCUUUCCCUGUCACAAAGAAGAAAUGAAUGAAAGAUUUGGAAGUCAAAAUCUAGCACUCCAAUUACCAACAUUAGCAGGAAGAGAAGAAUGUUCCAAAUAUCAACAAGAAUCUCAAAUCUAACCAAGCAAAAUAUGCAAUUAUGUAGGCAGAUGCUGGCUCAUCAGCCACUGAUAUAGACUGAUUUCUACCACUUCAUUAAUUUGACUUUCUUACUCUGGGCAAUUUGAUCAUACCCAUACAGCAUAUUUCUUAGCCAGAAAUAGAUUUGAUUGUUCUAGGCCAGGUGGGAAAGCCAAUAGAUUUGCACAAAUGCUUCACAGGGCAUCUGUAUUAUAGCAGGGAUGUGGGAAGUUUUAUUGUAGAGUUUGGAAGUGGACUGCUGAAUUCUCUUCCUUUAACCUAAUCAUGUCAUUCACGUGUGGAGCAUAGUCAGUCUUUACAUGUAUCUAUUGGUCUUUAUUGUUCAAUUUUUUUUUUUUUUUUUGAGAUGGAAUCUUGCUCUGUCACCCAGGCUGGAGUGCAGUGGCAUGAUCUCAGCUCACUGCAAAUUCCACCCACCAGAUUCAAGUGAUUCUCAUGCCUUAUCCUCUUGAGUAGUUGAGAUUACAGGUGCAUAUUGUCACACCUGGCUAAUUUUCGUAUUUUUAGUAGAGACGAGGUUUUGCCAUGUUGGCCAUGCUAGUCUGAAACUCCUGAACUCAAGUGAUCC
rnacentral:lncRNA from 10 species